rnacentral:rRNA from 1 species
GGGUUGUGAGGUUAAGCGACUAAGCGUACACGGUGGAUGCCCUGGCAGUCAGAGGCGAUGAAGGACGUGCUAAUCUGCGAAAAGCGUCGGUAAGGUGAUAUGAACCGUUAUAACCGGCGAUGUCCGAAUGGGGAAACCCAGUGCAAUUCGUUGCACUAUCGUUAACUGAAUACAUAGGUUAACGAGGCGAACCGGGGGAACUGAAACAUCUAAGUACCCCGAGGAAAAGAAAUCAACCGAGAUUCCCCCAGUAGCGGCGAGCGAACGGGGAGCAGCCCAGAGUCUGAAUCAGCUUGUGUGUUAGUGGAACGGUCUGGAAAGUCCGACGGUACAGGGUGAUAGUCCCGUACACCAAAAUGCACAGGCUGUGAACUCGAAGAGUAGGGCGGGACACGUGGUAUCCUGUCUGAAUAUGGGGUGACCAUCCUCCAAGGCUAAAUACUCCUGACUGACCGAUAGUGAACCAGUACCGUGAGGGAAAGGCGAAAAGAACCCCGGCGAGGGGAGUGAAAAAGAACCUGAAACCGUGUACGUACAAGCAGUGGGAGCACCUUCGGGUGUGACUGCGUACCUUUUGUAUAAUGGGUCAGCGACUUAUAUUCUGUAGCAAGGUUAACCGUAUAGGGGAGCCGCAGGGAAACCGAGUCUUAACUGGGCGUUAAGUUGCAGGGUAUAGACCCGAAACCCGGUGAUCUAGCCAUGGGCAGGUUGAAGGUUGGGUAACACUAACUGGAGGACCGAACCGACUAAUGUUGAAAAAUUAGCGGAUGACUUGUGGCUGGGGGUGAAAGGCCAAUCAAACCGGGAGAUAGCUGGUUCUCCCCGAAAGCUAUUUAGGUAGCGCCUCGUGAAUUCAUCUUCGGGGGUAGAGCACUGUUUCGGCUAGGGGGUCAUCCCGACUUACCAACCCGAUGCAAACUACGAAUACCGAAGAAUGUUAUCACGGGAGACACACGGCGGGUGCUAACGUCCGUCGUGAAGAGGGAAACAACCCAGACCGCCAGCUAAGGUCCCAAAGUCAUGGUUAAGUGGGAAACGAUGUGGGAAGGCACAGACAGCCAGGAUGUUGGCUUAGAAGCAGCCAUCAUUUAAAGAAAGCGUAAUAGCUCACUGGUCGAGUCGGCCUGCGCGGAAGAUGUAACGGGGCUAAACCAUGCACCGAAGCUGCGGCAGCGACACUAUGUGUUGUUGGGUAGGGGAGCGUUCUGUAAGCCUGCGAAGGUGUGCUGUGAGGCAUGCUGGAGGUAUCAGAAGUGCGAAUGCUGACAUAAGUAACGAUAAAGCGGGUGAAAAGCCCGCUCGCCGGAAGACCAAGGGUUCCUGUCCAACGUUAAUCGGGGCAGGGUGAGUCGACCCCUAAGGCGAGGCCGAAAGGCGUAGUCGAUGGGAAACAGGUUAAUAUUCCUGUACUUGGUGUUACUGCGAAGGGGUACGGAGAAGGCUAUGUUAGCCGGGCGACGGUUGUCCCGGUUUAAGCAUGUAGGCUGAUUAUCCAGGCAAAUCCGGAUAAUCAAGGCUGAGGUGUGAUGACGAGGCACUACGGUGCUGAAGUAACAAAUGCCCUGCUUCCAGGAAAAGCCUCUAAGCAUCAGGUAACAUCAAAUCGUACCCCAAACCGACACAGGUGGUCAGGUAGAGAAUACCAAGGCGCUUGAGAGAACUCGGGUGAAGGAACUAGGCAAAAUGGUGCCGUAACUUCGGGAGAAGGCACGCUGGUGUGUAGGUGAAGCCCCUGCGGGUGGAGCUGAGACCAGUCGAAGAUACCAGCUGGCUGCAACUGUUUAUUAAAAACACAGCACUGUGCAAACACGAAAGUGGACGUAUACGGUGUGACGCCUGCCCGGUGCCGGAAGGUUAAUUGAUGGGGUUAUCCGUAAGGAGAAGCUCUUGAUCGAAGCCCCGGUAAACGGCGGCCGUAACUAUAACGGUCCUAAGGUAGCGAAAUUCCUUGUCGGGUAAGUUCCGACCUGCACGAAUGGCGUAAUGAUGGCCAGGCUGUCUCCACCCGAGACUCAGUGAAAUUGAACUCGCUGUGAAGAUGCAGUGUACCCGCGGCAAGACGGAAAGACCCCGUGAACCUUUACUAUAGCUUGACACUGAACAUUGAGCCUUGAUGUGUAGGAUAGGUGGGAGGCUUUGAAGCGUGGACGCCAGUCUGCGUGGAGCCAACCUUGAAAUACCACCCUUUAAUGUUUGAUGUUCUAACGUUGGCCCCUUACCGGGGUUGCGGACAGUGUCUGGUGGGUAGUUUGACUGGGGCGGUCUCCUCCCAAAGCGUAACGGAGGAGCACGAAGGUUAGCUAAUCCUGGUCGGACAUCAGGAGGUUAGUGCAAUGGCAUAAGCUAGCUUGACUGCGAGCGUGACGGCGCGAGCAGGUGCGAAAAAGCAGGUCAUAGUGAUCCGGUGGUUCUGAAUGGAAGGGCCAUCGCUCAACGGAUAAAAGGUACUCCGGGGAUAACAGGCUGAUACCGCCCAAGAGUUCAUAUCGACGGCGGUGUUUGGCACCUCGAUGUCGGCUCAUCACAUCCUGGGGCUGAAGUAGGUCCCAAGGGUAUGGCUGUUCGCCAUUUAAAGUGGUACGCGAGCUGGGUUUAGAACGUCGUGAGACAGUUCGGUCCCUAUCUGCCGUGGGCGCUGGAGAAUUGAGGGGGGCUGCUCCUAGUACGAGAGGACCGGAGUGGACGCAUCACUGGUGUUCGGGUUGUCAUGCCAAUGGCACUGCCCGGUAGCUAAAUGCGGAAGAGAUAAGUGCUGAAAGCAUCUAAGCACGAAACUUGCCCCGAGAUGAGUUCUCCCUGAGACUUUAAGUCUCCUGAAGGAACGUUGAAGACGACGACGUUGAUAGGCCGGGUGUGUAAGCGCAGCGAUGCGUUGAGCUAACCGGUACUAAUGAACCGUGAGGCUUAACCUUACAACGCCGAAG